CAGUAGCCGCGGGAAUACAGAGGGUGCAAGCGUUAAUCGGAAUUACUGGGCGUAAAGCGCGCGUAGGUGGUUUGUUAAGUUGGAUGUGAAAGCCCCGGGCUCAACCUGGGAACUGCAUCCAAAACUGGCAAGCUAGAGUACGGUAGAGGGUGGUGGAAUUUCCUGUGUAGCGGUGAAAUGCGUAGAUAUAGGAAGGAACACCAGUGGCGAAGGCGACCACCUGGACUGAUACUGACACUGAGGUGCGAAAGCGUGGGGAGCAAACAGGAUUAGAUACCCGGGUAGUCCCUGUCUCUUAUAU
rnacentral:rRNA from 1 species